GUACCUAAGCAAUUAGAAAUAAAGCAGUUUUUGUCUUAUAAUCUUUAGAUAAAGUAUUCUUCCCUGUCACAUUUAUAUCAAAUAUUUCAAAAAAAUGAUUCUCAAGAUUUUAAUUUUGUGCGUCGUUUUGUCAUUAUGUCUGGCUGCACCAGGUUUCCUACAUAGCUACCCACUGAUCUACCAUCCACCAGUUACCAAGAUCAUAGCACCAGCUCCGGCUUUUGUACCAGUAUACAAAACCAUCAUAGCUCAUCCAUACCAUGCGUACCCUUACCAUUUUCCUCAUCCAUGGUUUAAAUGAAAAAAAAGCAUAGAAAAUUAGAUGAUUCUUCGGAUAAGACCAUCCUGCUAUACAAUACGGAUAAUGUUUCAAAAGAAUACUUGUAGAUAAUGUGCAUAUAUAAUAAAAAUUGUGGACUGUAUAGAGUAUAUAAAUAAAAGAGCAGUAUAAACACAGUUA